UACGUAGGGGGCAAGCGUUGUCCGGAUUUAUUGGGCGUAAAGAGCGUGUAGGCGGCUUUACAGGUCCGUUGUGAAAACUCGAGGCUCAACCUCGAGACGCCGGUGGAAACCGUAAGGCUAGAGGCCGGAAGAGGAGAGUGGAAUUCCUGGUGUAGCGGUGAAAUGCGCAGAUAUCGGGAAGAACACCCGUGGCGAAGGCGGCUCUCUGGGACGGUACUGACGCUGAGACGCGAAAGCGUGGGGAGCGAACAGG
rnacentral:rRNA from 1 species